rnacentral:rRNA from 1 species
CAGCCGCCACGGUAAAACGGAGGGGGCUAGCGUUGUUCGGAAUUACUGGGCGUAAAGCGCACGUAGGCGGCUUGGUAAGUUAGAGGUGAAAGCCCGGAGCUCAACUCCGGAAUUGCCUUUAAGACUGCCGAGCUAGCAGGUGAGAGAGGUAAGUGGAAUUCCGAGUGUAGAGGUGAAAUUCGUAGAUAUUCGGAAGAACACCAGUGGCGAAGGCGGCUUACUGGCUCAUACUGGACGCUGAGGUGCGAAAGCGUGGGGAGCAAACAGGAUUAGAUACCCGGGUAGUCCCUGUCUCUUAUAA